CGGGUGAGUAACACGUAUGCAACCUGCCUGCCACAGCCGGAUAAUCGGGAGAAAUUCCGUCUAAUACGGCAUAAUGCAUCGACGGGACAUCCUGUUGGUGCCAAAGGUUAAUUCCGGUGGCGGAUGGGCAUGCGUCGCAUUAGUUAGUUGGCGGUGUAACGGACCACCAAGACGACGAUGCGUAGGGGUUCUGAGAGGAAGGUCCCCCACACUGGUACUGAGACACGGUCCAGACUCCUACGGAAGGCAGCAG
rnacentral:rRNA from 1 species